UGCGUAGGUGGUAUGGCAAGUCAGAAGUGAAAACCCAGGGCUUAACUCUGGGACUGCUUUUGAAACUGUCAGACUGGAGUGCAGGAGAGGUAAGCGGAAUUCCUAGUGUAGCGGUGAAAUGCGUAGAUAUUAGGAGGAACAUCAGUGGCGAAGGCGGCUUACUGGACUGAAACUGACACUGAGGCACGAAAGCGUGGUAGCAAACA
rnacentral:rRNA from 1 species